rnacentral:ribozyme from 13 species
AUGUCCCCAAUGACAAAGAAAUAUCAUUCAAACAAGACCAAUUGAUGUGUAUGUACACUAUUUAUUGGUGUGUUAUCUAAUUUUCAAUUGUUAUUUUUCAGUCCCCUUUUUCUUCUCCUUUGUCCUCGUU